CCCUUAGAUGUUCUGGGCCGCACGCGCGCUACACUGACGAAUGCAACGAACUUAUAACCUUGGCCGAAAGGUCUGGGUAAUCUCCAAAUUUCGUCGUGAUGGGGAUAGAUUAUUGCAAUUAUUAAUCUUCAACGAGGAAUGCCUAGUAAGCGCAAGUCAUCAGCUUGCGUUGAUUACGUCCCUGCCCUUUGUACACACCGCCCGUCGCUCCUACCGAUUGAAUGGUCCGGUGAAGCGCUCGGACCGCGGCCUCUUGACGGUUUUCCGUCGAUUGGCUGUGGGAAGUUCGUUAAACCUUAUCAUUUAGAGGAAGGAGAAGUCGUAACA
rnacentral:rRNA from 1 species